GACGAACGCUGGCGGCGUGCUUAACACAUGCAAGUCGAACGGAAAGGCCCUGCUUUUGUGGGGUGCUCGAGUGGCGAACGGGUGAGUAACACGGGAGUAACCUGCCCUUGACUUUGGGAUAACUUCAGGAAACUGGGGCUAAUACCGGAUCGGAGCUCCUGCUGCCUGGUGGGGGUUGGAAAGUUUCGGCGGUUGGGGAUGGACUCGAGGCUUAUCAGCUUGUUGGUGGGGUAGUGGCUUACCAAGGCUUUGACGGGUAGCCGGCCUGAGAGGGUGACCGGCCACAUUGGGACUGAGAUACGGCCCAGACUCCUACGGGAGGCAGCAGUGGGGAAUAUUGCACAAUGGGCGGAAGCCUGAUGCAGCAACGCCGCGUGCGGGAUGACGGCCUUCGGGUUGUAAACCGCCUUCGCCUGUGACGAAGCGUGAGUGACGGUAAUGGGUAAAGAAGCACCGGCUAACUACGUG
rnacentral:rRNA from 1 species